CGGCUCAAUCUAAUUCGUAGCCUGGAACCACAGAAUUUUAAGUUCACAGGCUGUGGCACCCACGCCGCCACACCUCCCCUAAAGCCCGGAGAAAUAGCGGUUCCGGGCAAGGGCCUUCUGCAGCCGCUUGGGAAGCCGGCUUCUCGCAGCCUGAAACUCCGCAGUGAACACAUUCUCGCGAGACUAGCGGUCUGGGCUAGUGGGCCUGGAGGUUCCCGGAAGUGGACGAGAGGCAGGUCCACUCCCACCUAAACCAGUGCUCGCCUCGCCCGGUCUAAUCUGGGCCUCUGGGGGACCCGCGCGAGGUGGAGUCUCGGAGACGCUCCCCGCUGGUCUCCGGGUGCUGGCGCCACCUCCCCUCCCUUUGCCCUUCACCACGCCCUGCCCUCCCUGGGCUGCGGCGUUUCUCUACGGCUGGGCAGCCGGCCUGUCCCCUUUUGCUUGCCUUCCCGUGCCCUCCCCAGAAUAGCGCCAGACCCGGGGUUUCCCAGAUGUCGCCUGUAUAACUUGCUCACCGGGUAACUCAUUUGAUUUUGGAGUUCCUUUAAUUCUUCUGAAAGAUUUCAAAGCCUCCAGAAUCCAAAAUGGGACACGGUAAACAGAUUAGAAUUUUACUACUGAACGAAAUGGAAAAGCUGGAAAAGACCCUCUUCAGACUUGAACAAGCCAUCUCAUGUGUUACCCCCAAUGCCAACCCUCCUCUUCUUCCAACUUGGUGUGGCACUUAAGAUCACCAAGUACUUACUCCAUUUUUGGCUUUCCUGACUCUGCACUUUUCUGGUUUUGACUAUUUUUUCCUCUUUUCCCUCUUAAUAUUCCUGUCAACUUAAUGUGUCUCACUGGACUCCCUUCUACAUUUUAAUUAAUUGCAAGUAUCUGCUAGGAAUCCUUUUUUUCU
rnacentral:lncRNA from 1 species